GUAAAAUGUGACUCAAUCUUUUAUAAUACACAAGAAGAUAAUGGCUUCAUUCUUCGUGUUGAAAAAUCAACAGAACCCUUACAUUAUCAAUGUACAUGGAUUAACCAAACCAAUAGUGGAUUAAGACUUCUUUUAAAAGAAAAUCAAGGUCAAAACUGGUCUUACCAUGCGGUGUUUGUCUUCAAUACACUCAUUUUGCUCUUGAGUGGAAUAGUCAACAUAUUUCUAUGUAAAAGACUGAGAAGAAAGAGUGAAUUGCAUGCAGGAGUUUCUGACCCAUCUCCACCAGACACAUCACCCUCUGAUGCCAGUUCUUCUCUUAAUCGAGUUAGUCUAGACCUGAACUACACAACCCUGGAAUUUCCUGAAGACGACACAAGUAGAGAGAGCUCAGCGAUUGAGCGAAGAAAGACAAGAAGGAAUGCAAUCUACUCCAGCCUUAAAUGCCAUGUGCCGAACAUCACUGAAGAGAGCUGAGCCAUUACUUAUCCUUCUCAUUUUGUUUUCAAGUGAUAAAUGCAGCACAGUUGUUUAAAACCUAUAAAGACAUUUUGGGGUUACAGCACUA